rnacentral:rRNA from 1 species
UACGGAGGGUGCGAGCGUUAAUCGGAAUUACUGGGCGUAAAGGGUGCGUAGGUGGUUGAUUAAGUUAUCUGUGAAAUACCUGGGCUUAACCUGGGCAGGUCAGAUAAGACUGGUUGACUCGAGUAUAGGAGAGGGUAGUGGAAUUUCCGGUGUAGCGGUGAAAUGCGUAGAGAUCGGAAGGAACACCAGUGGCGAAGGCGGCUACCUGGCCUGAUACUGACACUGAGGCACGAAAGCGUGGGGAGCAAACAGG